AAGCACUGGGAGAUGAAGUGGAUGGUCUUGAAGCUUGAUAGAGGACCUGAGGUGCCUCAGGUAAGGCUAGACACACCAAGGCAAAGUGCAACCAAGACUGCCCUGCUAGUUAGCCCAGUCUGUCCUCACCCUGUUCAUGUUAGGAGAAAAGUCAAUGCAAGUGGUCUGGGGAAAUUGUGGGACAUACAGAAAGCGCAGUGACACAAAACACCUGAUUGAUAUGGCCACCUGGGUUCAGCACAGUUCUGUACCUCUGCUUCAAAGCAAAAACUGGCCUCCUUGAUAAAGGCUACCCUGGAUCAAGGUGAGUACAGGUUGGAGAAUGGGUGUAGAGAAGGUAGGAUGAAUGAACAAGGGAAAGGGUGGGAAGUGUGGGAAUGGAGGGUGGAGAGUAGAGGGCAGGGAUGACCACAAAGUCACCCUGCAUGCAGUCAACACCCAGAAUUCAAAAAGCUGUUGUUCUUUUCUUCUGUGAGUCUGUCUGCUGGCCUCUGUCUAUUAUUUUUUUAGUCUUCCACAAGGCAGACACUGAUCAUUCUCUCUCUGUCCAGAUUUAUGGCCAUCACAAAGAACAAUUCUCAGACAGGGAGCAGGACAUAGGGAUGCCCAAGAAGACAGGCUCCAGUUCUACCGUGGACAGCAAGGAUGAGGAUCACUAUUCUAAAUGUCAAGGUGAUGGGGACUGAGGAAUAAAGAAAUCUGGAGUAGAAACAGGUACAGGGAUUAGGAGAAUAACUUGGGCAUCCCAUUGCACGUACGUACUCCCUGCCCUGCUACAAAAACUCUCCUCUAAUUGUUUUUAAGAGACAGGGUCUCACUCUGUCAUUCAGACUGAAGUGCAGUGGAGUGAUCAUAGCUCACUGCAGCCUAGAACUCCUGGGCUCAAGUGAUCCUCCUGCCUCAGCCUCUCCAGUAGCUGAGACUAUAGGCACAUGCCACCAUGCCCAGCUAAUUUUAAAACUUUUUUUGUAAGGAUGCUGAGGCUGGUCUUGAACUCCUGGCAUCAAGCAAUCCUCCCGCCUUAGCCUCCCAAAUUCCUGGGAUUAGAGGCGUGAGCCACCAUGCUUGGCCCCUCUAAGUAUUAAGGAAAAGGCACCUCUCUUCACCUCCUUCGCACUUUGCCUAUUCCCUGUUAUUCCUCCCACAACUCCAAGAAAUGAGUUUUAGGAAGGAAUUCAAGUAUUCAUGGGGAACUGGGCUUUGGUGCCUUUUGCAGGGGCCGGAGCAGCAAUCAGCAGAGGGGUAAUGAGAAACUCAGUGCAUAAGACAUACGGACCCUGGGGGCCCAAGGCUUCCCCUCCCAUCUUGGGUAUAGCACCCAAAGUAAAGUAGUGACUCGUUAGCUGCUUUUCUCUCUCUCUCUCUCUCUCUCUCUCUCUCUCUGUCUCUACAUAUAUAUAUUUUUGUUUGUUUGUUUGUUUGUUGUUUGUUUGUUUGUUUUUUCCCUCAUCUCUUCCUAGAUUGUAUCCACCGCCUGG
rnacentral:lncRNA from 1 species